GACGAACGCUGGCGGCGUGCUUAACACAUGCAAGUCGAACGGUGAAGCGCUUGCCUUUUUGGUGGGUGUGGAUGAGUGGCGAACGGGUGAGUAACACGUGAGUAACCUGCCCUCUUCUUCUGGAUAACCUCAUGAAAGUGGGGCUAAUACGGGGUAUUCCGGGUCUGUCGCAUGGCGGGUUUGGGAAAGAUUGCGCCUUUGGGUGUUUUCGGUGGGGGAUGGGCUCGCGGCCUAUCAGCUUGUUGGUGGGGUGAUGGCCUACCAAGGCGGUGACGGGUAGCCGGCCUGAGAGGGUGGACGGCCACACUGGGACUGAGACACGGCCCAGACUCCUGCGGGAGGCAGCAGUGGGGAAUAGUGCACAAUGGGCGCAAGCCUGAUGCAGCGACGCCGCGUGAGGGAUGGAGGCCUUCGGGUUGUGAACCUCUUUCGCCAGUGAAGCAGGCCUGCUCCUGUGUGGGUGGGUUGACGGUAGCUGGAGAAGAAGCGCCGGCUAACUACGUG
rnacentral:rRNA from 1 species